GAGGAAGUCGAUGUAGGUGACAGGUCGCUCUUUUCCCCCUUCUAUAAUCCAAGUCCAGUGUUCUCAAAGAAAUCUCCGGCAAUGAAUGUCAGCUAAUUCUACUUGCCAGAGGUCAUUUAAACGGCCAUUCAAUCCGUCUUCUCCGGCGAAGCACAUCCAUUCCCUGUUAGCCGGCGAUACGACACCGUGAAACGUGAUUUUCCGACGGAUUUCAGUUGUUUUUCAACCAAAAGUAGAAAUCCACUGAUUGUCCAGUUCAUUGGGGAGCGUUUUUUGGAGUGACAAUAGAGGUAUCCUUCUUUUUAUCAUUUUCCAAAAAGUUGAUAAACUUGGCGGGUAUGUAAAAGAUAUUCUUUGUUUUCCAUCACUUUUACAUAUGUCAAAAAAAUAUUGUGACAUUUCCGUUCUUACGUCCUGUUCAAAUCGAUUAUUCUUUAUGUAGCAAAAUGGUCGAUUCCAUGGAUUAUAAUCGAAAAGAAGACUCACAAGAGGUUGUUGAACCCAGAAGAGGUCUUUAUUUUCAUUUUUUUUAUCAAACAGUUGCAAUUUAAAAAUUUGUGGGUUGCCCGUGUUAUUAUUAUUCAAAUAAGAAUCCUCAUAAUCAUAAAUUGGACUA